rnacentral:rRNA from 1 species
CCAAUAGCGUAUAUUAAAGUUGUUGCAGUUAAAAAGCUCGUAGUUGAAUUUCGGGGUUAGUAGGUUGGUCAUGCCUCUGGUAUGUACUGGUCUCACUGAUUCCUCCUUCCUGAUGAACCGUAAUGCCAUUAAUUUGGUGUUGCGGGGAAUUUGGACUGUUACUUUGAAAAAAUUAGAGUGUUUAAAGCAGGCUCGCGCUUGAAUACAUUAGCAUGGAAUAAUGAAAUAGGACGUUUGAUUCUAUUUUGUUGGUUUCUAGGAUCAACGUAAUGAUUAAUAGG